rnacentral:rRNA from 1 species
AGACCCGAAACCCGGUGAUCUAGCCAUGGGCAGGUUGAAGGUUGGGUAACACUAACUGGAGGACCGAACCGACUAAUGUUGAAAAAUUAGCGGAUGACCUGUGGCUGGGGGUGAAAGGCCAAUCAAACCGGGAGAUAGCUGGUUCUCCCCGAAAGCUAUUUAGGUAGCGCCUCGUGAAUUCAUCUCCGGGGGUAGAGCACUGUUUCGGCUAGGGGGCCAUCCCGGCUUACCAACCCGAUGCAAACUGCGAAUACCGGAGAAUGUUAUCACGGGAGACACACGGCGGGUGCUAACGUCCGUCGUGAAGAGGGAAACAACCCAGACCGCCAGCUAAGGUCCCAAAGUCAUGGUUAAGUGGGAAACGAUGUGGGAAGGCCCAGACAGCCAGGAUGUUGGCUUAGAAGCAGCCAUCAUUUAAAGAAAGCGUAAUAGCUCACUGGUCGAGUCGGCCUGCGCGGAAGAUGUAACGGGGCUAAACCAUGCACCGAAGCUGCGGCAGCGAACGUAUCACCCAAGACAACUUUGCACAGUUGACGAUUGACGGAGCGGAGCGACGUCAAAGCGUUUUACAACGUCGAGUUGGCUUAGGGAUACGUUCGUUGGGUAGGGGAGCGUUCUGUAAGCCUGCGAAGGUGGCCUGUGAGGGUUGCUGGAGGUAUCAGAAGUGCGAAUGCUGACAUAAGUAACGAUAAAGCGGGUGAAAAGCCCGCUCGCCGGAAGACCAAGGGUUCCUGUCCAACGUUAAUCGGGGCAGGGUGAGUCGACCCCUAAGGCGAGGCCGAAAGGCGUAGUCGAUGGGAAACGGGUUAAUAUUCCCGUACUUGGUGUUACUGCGAAGGGGGGACGGAGAAGGCUAUGUUGGCCGGGCGACGGUUGUCCCGGUUUAAGCGUGUAGGCUGGUUUUCCAGGCAAAUCCGG